AAUCGAACCUUCUAAUAAAUGUCUGCAAUAGUCAAAUGAGUUCUAAAGAACGAAUAAUUAUGUAUUGGAUAAAUAAAUUAGAGUCAUCUAAAAUACAAAAAUCUACUUACAAGCUUGUUUGGCCAUGAAUUUUGGAGCUCAAAUUUGAAAUUUUAUGAUAUUAUUCAUGAAACUAGAUUAUUGAUAACUAAGGGAGCCACUCUAUCUCAUUUUAAAGGGGCUUUUACAAUAAUUUGGAGGGGAAAGAAGAGGACAUGAUGGGAAAUACAAAAAAAAUGAUGAAUUACUAGAAUGUCCUGUCCUAAUGUACGAAUAAACUUGUUUUAGGAAUUAGGGUUUCUUAUACAUCAUAUAAAUUGGAAAAGAGGCCAUUGAAUUAGCCAAAGAUCCCAACUGAGCUAUCAGCGAAAGUUGUUGAAGAAAUUUGAGCGAACAUGAGGGCCAAGUGGAAGAAGAAGCGUAUGAGGAGGUUGAAGAGGAAGCGCAGAAAGAUGAGACAGAGAUCCAAGUAGGGCAAGGAUAUGAAUUAUUAGGACGGCUUCUGGUUGAACUUGCUGCAUCUUUUUCUAUUGAUGUCUGUCUUACGGGCAGUACUGAAGAAUCGAUAAUGCUUGUUGUAGGAAGCUGAUCUAGUCAUAUAUUUUUGUUUUUAUGAAGGGUCUGGUUCCAGUUUCAUUUCAUCCUCAACGAUAAUGUUUCUGUUCUGUUCUUGAGGUGUUUAUUAGUCUUCAUGUAAAAGAUAUUUAAGAUUAUGUUGAUCUAUUUCAUUAAAGCUGAACUUAAAUGGAGCAUUAUGGAUGGGAUUUCUGUU